rnacentral:rRNA from 1 species
AUUGAACGCUGGCGGCAGGCCUAACACAUGCAAGUCGAGCGGAUGAAGGGAGCUUGCUCCUGGAUUCAGCGGCGGACGGGUGAGUAAUGCCUAGGAAUCUGCCUGGUAGUGGGGGAUAACGUCCGGAAACGGGCGCUAAUACCGCAUACGUCCUGAGGGAGAAAGUGGGGGAUCUUCGGACCUCACGCUAUCAGAUGAGCCUAGGUCGGAUUAGCUAGUUGGUGGGGUAAAGGCCUACCAAGGCGACGAUCCGUAACUGGUCUGAGAGGAUGAUCAGUCACACUGGAACUGAGACACGGUCCAGACUCCUACGGGAGGCAGCAGCGGGGAAUAUUGGACAAUGGGCGAAAGCCUGAUCCAGCCAUGCCGCGUGCGUGAAGAAGGUCUUCGGAUUGUAAAGCACUUUAAGUUGGGAGGAAGGGCAGUAAGUUAAUACCUUGCUGUUUUGACGUUACCAACAGAAUAAGCACCGGCUAACUUCGUG